GAUGAACGCUGGCGGCGUGCCUAAUACAUGCAAGUAGAACGCUGAAGGAAGGAGCUUGCUCUUUCCGGAUGAGUUGCGAACGGGUGAGUAACGCGUAGGUAACCUGCCUGGUAGCGGGGGAUAACUAUUGGAAACGAUAGCUAAUACCGCAUAACAGUAGAUGUUGCAUGAUAUCUACUUAAAAGGUGCAAUUGCACCACUACCAGAUGGACCUGCGUUGUAUUAGCUAGUUGGUGAGGUAACGGCUCACCAAGGCGACGAUACAUAGCCGACCUGAGAGGGUGAUCGGCCACACUGGGACUGAGACACGGCCCAGACCCCUACGGGAGGCAGCAGUAGGGAAUCUUCGGCAAUGGACGGAAGUCUGACCGAGCAACGCCGCGUGAGUGAAGAAGGUUCUCGGAUCGUAAAGCUCUGUUGUAAGAGAAGAACGAGUGUGAGAGUGGAAAGUUCACACUGUGACGGUAUCUUACCAGAAAGGGACGGCUAACUACGUG
rnacentral:rRNA from 1 species